UGAGGAAUAUUGGUCAAUGGGCGAGAGCCUGAACCAGCCACGUCGCGUGAAGGAAGACUGACCUUACGGUUUGUAAACUUCUUUUGUAGAGGGGUAAUGGCAGAUACGUGUAUUUGCGUGAAAGUACUCUACGAAUAAGCAUCGGCUAACUCCGUGGCAGCAGCCGCGGUAAUACGGGGGAUGCGAGCGUUAUCCGGAAUUAUUGGGUUUAAAGGGUGCGCAGGUGGCUAAUCAGGUCAGUGGUGAAAAGCUAUGGCUCAACCAUGGUCUUGCCAUUGAAACCGUAUAGCUAGAGAGGAGACGAGGUAGGCGGAAUGUGUGGUGUAGCGGUGAAAUGCAUAGAUAUCACACAGAACUCCGAUUGCGAAGGCAGCUUACCAGGCUUUAUCUGACACUUAGGCACGACAGCGUGGGGAUCAAACAGG
rnacentral:rRNA from 1 species